rnacentral:rRNA from 1 species
AUGUUUGUGUGAAUAAAUAUUCAAUCUGACCUGCCCACUGAGAUUUUUAAAGGGCUGCGGUAAUUUGACCGUGCAAAGGUAGCAUAAUCAAUAGUCUUUUAAUUGGAGGCUUGAAUGAAAGGUUUGACGGAGGAAAGGCUGUCUCUAUUAGUUUAUUUUGAAUUUAACGUUUGUGUGAAAAGGCAUUAAUGGUUUAGAGGGACGAUAAGACCCUAUAAAACUUUACAUGUUUAUAUUAUUUAGUAUAAUUGUUGAGUAACUAUUAAAUGAUAUGUUGUGUUUUGCUGGGGCGGCAGGAAUAUAAUAUUAACUGUUCUUAGAUAUUAAAUAUUUAUUAAUAGAAAGUGGUCCUUUAUUUGAGAGGUAAGAGUAAGUUACUUUAGGGAUAACAGCAUAAUUUUUUUUGAGAGUUCAUAUCGAAGAAAAUAGUUGUGACCUCGAUGUUGAAUUAAAUUUUCUUUUAGGUGUAGCAGUUUAAGGAGAAGGCCUGUUCGGCCUAUAAAUAUUU